UACGUAGGGUGCGAGCGUUGUCCGGAAUUAUUGGGCGUAAAGAGCUCGUAGGCGGUUUGUCGCGUCUGCUGUGAAAACCUAAGGCUCAACCUUGGGCUUGCAGUGGGGUACGGGCAGACUAGAGUGCGGUAGGGGUGACUGGAAUUCCUGGUGUAGCGGUGGAAUGCGCAGAUAUCAGGAGGAACACCGAUGGCGAAGGCAGGUCACUGGGCCGCAACUGACGCUGAGGAGCGAAAGCAUGGGGAGCGAACAGG
rnacentral:rRNA from 1 species